rnacentral:lncRNA from 1 species
CUUCUUUAUGACUAUAAAUACUAGGAAAAAGAAAUAACCUAGUAAACUGAAUUAGUAAGUCUAUCAAGCCUCUAAUCCUUGUUGUUAGGAGUAUAUUAAGAAAAUAAAAUUGCAAUGAAUAACAAUACAGUAGAAAGUAGGUCAACAAACACUAUCUCGAUGUGGCUAUAUAUGUAUGUAGAUUUAUGUUAAAUUGAAGGGC